CCCCUCUCAGGUUCACACCUGGAGAGUUUCCAGCCCUCUGCCAGUCUUGGCUUUGGGAGGGAAAGUCAAGCAGAGGUCUACCCAUUCCAUUCCUAGCUUGACCAGUGGCUAGCGAGUGGCAGGCAAUCUGCUACAUGU